AUUGAACGCUGGCGGCAGGCUUAACACAUGCCAGUCGAGCGGUAGCACAGGGGGGCUUGCUCCCUGGGUGACGAGCGGCGGACGGGUGUGUAAUGUCUGGGAAACUGCCUGAUGGAGGGGGAUAACUACUGGAAACGGUAGCUAAUACCGCAUAACGUCGCAAGACCAAAGAGGGGGACCUUCGGGCCUCUUGCCAUCAGAUGUGCCCAGAUGGGAUUAGCUAGUAGGUGGGGUAAUGGCUCACCUAGGCGACGAUCCAUAGCUGGUCUGAGAGGAUGACCAGCCACACUGGAACUGAGACACGGUCCAGACUCCUACGGGAGGCAGCAGUGGGGAAUAUUGCACAAUGGGCGCAAGCCUGAUGCAGCCAUGCCGCGUGUGUGAAGAAGGCCUUCGGGUUGUAAAGCACUUUCAGCGAGGAGGAAGGUAGUGAGCUUAAUACGUUCAUCAAUUGACGUUACUCGCAGAAGAAGCACCGGCUAACUCCGUG
rnacentral:rRNA from 1 species